AUUAAAAAAAAGAAUUAUCCAUAAAGAAAAAUUCAACUAUGCGUUUCCUUUGCGAUCUAGCUUCGUCUCUUCCUCUCCGAUCGAUCUCCUGUGCAUCUUCAAUCCACUUCGUCUGCAUCUCCGAUCCACUUCGCCUGCAUCUCCAAUCGUCCUUGUCUGCAUCAAUCAAGAUCAUCUGCAUCUUCGUUCGACCUUGUCUGCAUCUCCGAUCGAUGUCUCUGUCUGCGAUCGAAUUCGUCUCAUUCUCGAUUAGAUCUUGUCCCAAUCAUAUUGAUCUAUUAUCCUCUCUCCAAUUCCAAUCGAUUUUCACAUUAUAUCAUCCUUGCUCAUUUUUUCAUAUGAAACCCUAAUCUAGCUGUUUAACAUCUAUAAUUGGUAUUUUGUCAAUUUCAGGUUCUUCCGGUUUCCGAUUGAAUUUGAAAUCCGCAUGUUCUGUUUUGAUUUUUUGUAUCCAGUUGAAGAAAAAAUAUUUGAAGCUUCAAAGAGUCACGAAAUGCUCUAAGAGAAGUUGUGAAGCUGCUUGAACAAAUCGUUAACAAGUUCCAAACUCAGAGUGUGAGCUUCAAAAAAGGGCCACCAAUAUGAGACAGUAUCAAGCUUUGUAUGUGGAAAUUUUGUUCCAUUCAUUAUGAGAGAAGCAAAGUGAUUUUUGAUAUGAAAAAUGAAGAUAUAUGAGUCCAAUUCCAAUACAAACUACCAGGAACAUAAAACACAUUUUUUACUUGAGAGUGGUCAUGGUCAAUUGGGCUAGGAAGAUGACUUUUCGACGGUGUUUUGUGAUUACAUCGGUAACUUCAUAAAGUCCGAUUUAAUGUGUUUUUGAGUCAAAAUUUGAUGCUGGCAAAAGGUCUGUGAGUGUUAUCAAAUUGCGGCGGCAUGGCCGCUAUGGCGGAUAUAUAUGUCAGUUUUUGGGCUUGCCGCAAUUGUAAAUAUCAGCCGAUAUUGCGUGUUUUUUCGCCAUAACCCGCUAUAACGGCGCCUCAAAGAGGCCGAUAUGGCAGGAUUCUGGCUCUCCGCCAUCGACCACACUCCUGUCUGACAUAAGAGUAUUUAUGGGGCCUGAAACCUUCCAAGGAUGGUUGAUCAGAUUUAAAGACACAACAACUCUUAUAUGUCAUUGGUAAGUUCAAAGGAUUAAUUUGUCAUGAAGUUGAAUUGAAUCCAAAGUAGAGACAUGAAGAAGAUGAACAUCACUACUACUUUAGAUUCUUUCCCACACCCUCUGAUUCACCAACCAACAACCGAAGUUCAGUUCCUUAGAGUAAUAUCUGUUAAGGCGGUCUCUAAGAGACCCAUAAGAUGUUCACGAGUUAUCAACACUUUUAUGUUAGUUGUUUUGUUAAACUACUGUAGUGUCAAAUGCUUAAAUGCAUAUUUGCAAAUGUAGAGUGAGUUAAUCAAAUGUGAGUAGUUUCAGUCUAUUGUAAACCGAUUUGUGAUGAAAUAAAAGUUAUGAUAAGUUAAGUUGAAAUAGAAUGUGAUUUUGAUGUAUUUUGGUUUUGUCAAUGAUAAUAUAAAAUUGAGUUUUGG